GGCACUUAUUUAAAAAGUUUUCAUUUCAAUUACUUCAGAUAAUACAGACUGCCAAUAAACAGAUGCACAAAACAGGUGUAUAAAGUGGUACGGUAGUCCUCCCUUAUCCCUAGUUUCUCUUUCUAAAGUUUCAGUUAUCCUUGGUCUACCAUGAUCAGAAAAGAGGUGAGUACAGUACAAUAAGAUAUUUUGACAGUAAAAGACUACAGUCACAUAAAUUUAGUAUAUUGUUAUAUAAUUGCCCUAUUUUAUUGUUAGUUAAUAUUUCUUUUUAUGCCUGAUUUGUAAAUGAAACUUUAUUAUUAUAAGUAUGUAUGUAUGUGAGAAAACAUACUGUGUGUAUAUAUAUACACACACAUAUAUACAUAUGUAUAUAUAUAGGGUUCAGUGCUAUUCAUGAUUCCCCCCAUAGAGAAGGGAGGAACACUAUACUUUUAUGUGAAUCACAAAUACUUAACAGCUUAAAUAAGACAUAAUCCGCUCUCCAGAACCAAGUCUGAAAAACGUAAGUAUUGAGGGAGAAAACUCUCAGAAGAGACAGUUAUCAGAGGUAAUUUGGGUUGUUUUAACAAUUCAUGGGGAAGAAAGAGGAUGAAGAAGACGGAGAUUAUCGCUCAUGGGCAGCAUGUCUGUGCUUGUGUCAGUACCAGCAAAACCUAAAAGGAAAACUUCACCUGCACCUUCUAAACUUGCAACAAUCUAAUUUGAAGCAAUAGCAAGGGUCGGGAAUCUAUUAGAAUAACAACCAGCUCUUCUACGGCCCCACAGGAACAGUUACUCCCAAACUCAAAUUUCUUAACAAACAUUACUGCAGGCAUAUUCCAGAGGCAAAGCAGGGAUCUUUGGUUAAGGCCUUUCACAAAAGAGAAAAAUAUGAGGAAAAAUCAAACGGUUCAACAAAGGCAGUUUGUUUUUCUCUCUACAAGUCAACUCAGUAAUGGCACACCCUCUGUAAAUCAGUGGAGAUCCACAGGCCUUGCAGAUGGCAGAUGCAGAUCAUUAAUUCUGAAGGAACCAAAACUGCCUAAGGCCAGGGGAAGUGGCUCAUGUCUAUGAUCCCAACACUUUGAGAGACCACAGUGGGAAGAUUGCUUGAGUCCUGGAGUUCGAGAUCAGUCUGGGCAAUAUAGUGAGACCCCUUAUCUACAAAAAUUAAAAAAAUAGCCUGUCACGGUGGCAGGCACCUAUAGUCACAGCUACUCAAGAGGCUGAAGUAGGAGGGUCACUUGAACUCAGCGAGGUCAAGGCUGAGUGAGCUGUUACUGCACCACUGCACUCCAACCUGGACAACAGAGCAAGUCUCUGUCUCAAAAAUAAAAAAGAAAAAGAAAAAAAA
rnacentral:lncRNA from 1 species